CAAUAGCGUAUAUUGAAGUUGUUGCAGUUAAAAAGCUCGUAGUUGGAUUUCUGGUUGAAGCGACCGGUCGGGCGUUGAUUCGUCUGCACUGGAGUCGGUUUUGGCCAUCCUCUAGGAAAGUGCGUCUGGUAUUAAGUUAUCGGGCGUAUGAUCCUGGUCUUUUACUGUGAAAAAAUUAGAGUGUUUAAAGCAGGCCUUCGCCUUGAAUACAUUAGCAUGGAAUAAUAAGAUAGGACUUUGGUCUAUUUUGUUGGUUUGCAGACCGAAGUAAUGAUUAAUAGGGAUAGUUGGGGGUAUUUAUAUUCCGAUGUCAGAGGUGAAAUUCUUAGAUUUUCGGAAGAUAAACUUAUGCGAAAGCAUUUACCAAGGAUGUUUUCAUUAA
rnacentral:rRNA from 1 species